rnacentral:rRNA from 1 species
UACGGAGGGAGCUAGCGUUGUUCGGAAUUACUGGGCGUAAAGCGCACGUAGGCGGAUUUGUUAGUCAGGGGUGAAAUCCCGGGGCUCAACCUCGGAACUGCCUUUGAUACUGCAAAUCUCGAGUCCGAUAGAGGUGGGUGGAAUUCCUAGUGUAGAGGUGAAAUUCGUAGAUAUUGGGAAGAACACCAGUGGCGAAGGCGGCUAUCUGGCCCGUUAUUGACGCUGAGGCGCGAAAGCGUGGGGAGCAAACAGG